rnacentral:rRNA from 1 species
GGGGAGCAAACAGGAUUAGAUACCCUGGUAGUCCACGCCCUAAACGAUGUCGAUUAGUUAUUGGAAGGACCUUUUUCUUUCAGUGACGCAGCUAACGCUUUAAGUCGACCGCCUGGGAAGUACGAUCGCAAGGUUAAAACUCAAAGGAAUUGACGGGGACCUGAACAAGCGGUGGAUGAUGUGGAUUAAUUCGAUGCAACACGAAGAACCUUACCUACCUUUGACAUGACCAAAGUUCUACCGAGAGGUGGAAGUGCUCGUAAGAGAAUUGGAUCACAGGUGCUGCAUGGCUGUCGUCAGUUCGUGUCGUGAGAUGUUGGGUUAAGUCCCGCAACGAACGCAACCCUUAUUUUUAAUUGCUCCUAUUUUAGCAGGCACUUUAAAGAAACUGCCAACGAUAAGUUGGAGGAAGGUGGGGAUGACGUCAAGUCCGCAUGGCCUUUAUAGGUGGGGCUUCACACGUCAUACAAUGGUUAGAACAAAGAGCUGCCAAUUCGCAAGAAGUAGCCAAUCUCAUAAACUUAACCUCAGUACGAAUUGUACUCUGCAACUCGAGUGCAUGAAGCCGGAAUCGCUAGUAAUCGUGGAUCAGAAUGCCACGGUGAAUUCGUUCUCAGGUCUUGUACACACCGCCCGUCACACCAUGGAAGCGAGCAUUACCAGAAAUGAUUAACCUAAUCC